GGACGAACGCUGGCGGCGUGCCUAACACAUGCAAGUCGAGCGGAGGAUUCGAGAUGUUACAUCGAAGGAUCCUUAGCGGCGGACGGGUGAGUAACACGUGGGUAACCUGCCUCAGAGUGGGGGAUAGCCUUUCGAAAGGAAGAUUAAUACCGCAUAAGAUUGUAGCGUCACAUGGCGCAGCAAGAAAAGGAGCAAUCCGCUUUGAGAUGGACCCGCGGCGCAUUAGCUAGUUGGUGAGGUAACGGCUCACCAAGGCCACGAUGCGUAGCCGACCUGAGAGGGUGAUCGGCCACAUUGGAACUGAGACACGGUCCAGACUCCUACGGGAGGCAGCAGUGGGGAAUAUUGCACAAUGGGCGAAAGCCUGAUGCAGCCAACGCCGCGUGAGUGAUGAAGGCCUUCGGGUCGUAAAGCUCUUUGAUCAGGGAUGAUAAUGACAGUACCUGAAAAACAAGCCACGGCUAACUACGUGCCAGCAGCUGC
rnacentral:rRNA from 1 species